rnacentral:rRNA from 1 species
UACGGAAGGGGCAAGCGUUGUUCGGAAUCAUUGGGCGUAAAGGGCGCGUAGGUGGUUCUGUAUGUCUACCGUGAAAGCAUACAGCUCAACUGUAUUUUGUCGGUAGAAACUGGCAGGACUUGAGGCUGGGAGGGGCUGGUGGAAUUCCCUGUGUAGCGGUGGAAAUGCGUAGAGAUGGGGAGAACACUCGUGGCGAAGGCGGCCAGCUAGGACCGAGUUCUGACACUGGAGGCGACGACAGCGUGGGGGAGCAAACAGG